UGCAGCUUUCCAAGGUUAUGCUGUGCUUUAGGGGAGGAACGACCACCGGUUCUCCAGGUUCCGGUCGCGAUCCGGUGGAUCUGCUUCGGCUCACAUCAUGCUCUCUUCAGCUUUACCCGGUGCUUCCAAUUCCUGAGCCUUGUGCAGGGUUUCACUGUGUGCAUCAGGUUGCUUCAUGGCCUGCUUGGAAUUCCUACUUUUCAAGUCUGCUAAGAUCCAAGACAUACAUGUGAUUGACCACAAUGAAUAAAAAUCACACCUGGGAAGUUCCAAGGUGAACUCUGAUCCUAUGAAUAAGGCUGACCACAAGUUCAGUGAGACCCUGGAACCCACUGUUGAUUGACUCUUUUACAGUAGAUGGCAAGGAGGAAAACAUCUAUAAUUAGAGUCUCAAGGUAAUGAGCAAUUUAGUCUAUGUAACAGAAGAGUGGCCCAUUUGGAUAUAUCUGUAUUGAUGGGACCCAUAUGACACAAUGAGAGUUAUCAGGAUGAGAAAUAACUUUCUAGCUGUAAGGAGCUCCAUCUCUGUCUCUCCCUCUGAUGUCUGCUUAGGGACCUUGGUGUAGAGGUUCCCGCUGAAGAGUGUACUGGUGAUGUGAAGGUGGUCAGGGAGCUGGAGAGUCCUCCUCACCACUUAUCCUCUUCAGAAUCCACUUACUUUCCCCUGAAGUUGACGAUAUAUUGCCAGCAUCUUCUUUUCAGAUCUGUAAAAUGUGCAGAACGAGGUCAUUGUGCACAUGAUCCUCACGGGAAGCUGAAGCAUCAUCCUCAUCGCUGCUGAAAUUCUCCAGAAUCCACUCAAGAUUCCAUGAAGUUGACAUAUGGGAACCAAAGAUUAUGUGAAAUUGACAUAUGGGAACCAUCUUCUUCCUUAUCCAUUGAUUUGCCAGAUGUUAUGCUGAGAUCUUUCAGGAGCAGCUGAAUAGUCUUCAUCCUUAUAGCUACCUUCAUAAAUGAUGUCCAGAGGAGAAUUGUAUUCCAUGUUCUUGAAGCUGCCUUGGUCUUCCAUGGGACCUUCUCCAAUGCCCUGUAACAAGGAAGCUGCUUCAGUAUGUCCUCGACAGAAAGAUUUUCACUUGCUUUUGAGUCCACGUUGACCACAGAUGAGACCUCCUUCUCUGACCUCUCACUUGGAAAAUCCCCUACCAGGUCUUCGGCAGAAGCUCCAGUGAAUUGCUCCCCAGUGUGUACUCUGUUAUGUGACCAGAUGGUUUUGACCCACUGCUUGGGGCGGGCAGCAUAUCUUCUGGACCACUGAAGAUAUGUUUCUCACAGAUGCGACUAUCUGCGGCUGUUGUCACAGGUAGUAGAGGAAUUUACCAAGACAGCUAUAG